GUGCUUGCUUCAGCAGCACAUACACUAAAAUUGAAACAGUACAGAGAAAAUUAGCAUGGCCCCGUACACAAGGAUGACACACAAAUUCCUGAAGCGUUUCAUAUUUUU